rnacentral:rRNA from 1 species
GAUGAACGCUGGCGGCGUGCCUAAUACAUGCAAGUCGAGCGAACAGACGAGGAGCUUGCUCCUUUGACGUUAGCGGCGGACGGGUGAGUAACACGUGGGUAACCUACCUAUAAGACUGGGAUAACUUCGGGAAACCGGAGCUAAUACCGGAUAAUAUUUCGAACCGCAUGGUUCGAUAGUGAAAGAUGGCUUUGCUAUCACUUAUAGAUGGACCUGCGCCGUAUUAGCUAGUUGGUAAGGUAACGGCUUACCAAGGCAACGAUACGUAGCCGACCUGAGAGGGUGAUCGGCCACACUGGAGCUGGGACGCGGUCCAGACUCCUACGGGAGGCAGCAGUAGGGAAUCUUCCGCAAUGGGCGAAAGCCUGACGGAGCAACGCCGCGUGAGUGAUGAAGGUCUUCGGAUCGUAAAACUCUGUUAUUAGGGAAGAAUAAACGUGUAAGUAACUGUGCACGUCUUGACGGUACCUAAUCAGAAAGCCACGGCUAACUACGUG